CGCAAACAACACCUUGAGAGGAGAAUUAAAGCUUCAGCUUCCCUCCUUACUGGAGAACCUUCCUCCGUCGCGCCAGAAUUCGCCACCGGCGGCAGCGGAGACCUAAACUACUAAAUUUCCACCCCAAAUCCUUCGUCUACACAACCUUAACCUAAAUCUGCCAUUAAAUUUCACAAUUCCUGAUUAUACAUCCAAACUGGAGUGGUGCUGUACAUGAACCCUAAAUACAAAUGGUAAAAUUAAACUCUAAAACGAUGGAAUCAAAACCCAAUAGGUUGGGGUUUUGAUUCCCCAAGCUUCGAGCUACAUCUUGUAUCCGAUUCAAAGUGAAACAAGGAAGAAAUCGACUUACCUAUGGAGAAGACGAAGACGACGACGAACUUCCAGUUAAAGUUAAAAGAAAAUUGGCUUAUGGACCCUGUUAUAAAGAAUGGAGUUAAUGGUGCACCGUUGUAAUAGAGUUUCACUUGUGCGUUCAGAAAGAAGGGUUCUGCAUUUGGCCUAGUGUAUUGCAUUGAAUGAAUUUUGAAGAAAUAAUGCAGGAAUUAUGGCAUGCCCUUUCAAGCUGUCCAAAGACAACAUUGAACUACAGUUUGCCACCAAUCACAUAGGUAUGUGGUAAAUCUUAUGUAAGAUGUCGAUUCUGACAACAUUGCUCACAAGUAAGAUCCAAUCAACUGGCAUUUUCUUUUGACAAAUCUUUUGUUGGAUACUAUGAAGAAAACAACACGUGAAAGUAAAAAAGAAGGAAGAAUUGUUAAUGUUGCCUCAGAGGCUCACAGGUUUGCAUAUCCCGAAGGAAUCCGUUUUGACAAAAUCAAUGACCAAUCAAGUUAUAACAACUGGCGUGCAUAUGGGCAAUCCAAGCUUGCUAACGUUUUACAUGCCAACCAACUUACAAAACAUCUCAAGGUGCACUUACUUCUACUGUAUAGUGGUGUUAUUUACAUGCCAUAUGGUUUAGUAGUUCAUAAUUGGUGUGUUUUUACCAUAGUUCAAUAUAACUUAUUGUGUCUCACUUUAAUUAAAAAGAGGAUGUCCUUAGGUCGGUGUUCUUUUCAUUGUCUCAUUAGCUUUUUAUGAGUUGACUAAGAAACUGAUAUUUGAGCUUAACUACUAACAUAAGCAUGUGUGAGACUGUUUGAGAGAGUUUCUGAAAACAACUUAUGAC